UCUGCCCUGCAACACGGUGCAUGGGGCGUGUGCAGCCGACACCGGACCUCCAGGCACCUGCAUCCAGGCACCUGCCUGCCUCAUUAGCUGUAGUCCCUGGAUGGGACUGGAGGAGCAGGAGGCCAACAACCUGUGAGGUCAUCAUCAAGGACACACAGAGUCAGCAGGAUGCCCAGCCGCCUGCAUUGCCUAAUGGAUGGCCGAUCGCAUCUGUAUCCACUGGGCACAGCUGGGGAAUGGGAGAAGAGCAGGGGAGGCUUUCCAACCUCAUUCUGAAUUUACCUUGGCCCCCACUCCUCAAGCGGACUUAAAUGCCUUCCCUUCUGAGUCGCAAUCACAUAAUUGGUCUGUCUGCAUAUGCUCUGAGCCCCCACGGCUUCCUGUUAACACAGCUACAGAAAGAUCUUUCAAAGAACUCAACUAGAUGAGAAAAAUGUCUUUCAAGGCCCUCAGACCUUUAUACAAAGCUAUUCUGCUGUACACAGAGACGUACUUGUAGUACUUUGAUGUUUACUUCAUUCCUAUUCUGAACAAUUGGCUCGAUCGAGUCAGCACACCAGUUAUUUACACCAGUCUUAGGCAGCGUUUGUUUGAUGGAAAGGACUCUGGUAAUUCAGCUUCAUGUCUAAGCGCUCCUCACACUAUGACACAGCAAAAGAACCCACAGCAGCAGCUGUUGGAACAACUGCUCUCUUUUCCGCCCAAGUCUGACAUUUCCAAGGUGGGAUUUGAUUACAACUGGCAAUACAGAAUUAUGGGCAAACAGAUGAGGUGCAGAGACCAGAAAAUAUUGAGAUGAAAAUAGCAAGGCGGUGAGACAGUGUGUGUUACAUUCCCUUAUCAGGCUUUGAGAAGCAGGCAAAGGAUCCUGCUGAGAAAUGCCUCCUUGCUUCCAGCAUACAAAAGACACCCUGAGACCUGGUCCAGUCAGGACACCUCACAGCACAGGCGCCAGCCUUUGGGGUUUCUCUGAAGCAGCCGACAUCUCAGGCAGAGUCCAA